rnacentral:rRNA from 1 species
GACGAAUGCUGGCUGCGUGCUUAACACAUGCAAGUCGAACGGUGAAGGGGAGCUUGCUCCCCGGAUCAGUGGCGAACGGGUGAGUAACACGUGGGCAACCUGCCCCUCACUCUGGGAUAACUCCGGGAAACCGGGGCUAAUACCGGAUACGACCGGGAGCGACAUCGCUCCUGGUGGAAAGAAUUUCGGUGAGGGAUGGGCCCGCGGCCUAUCAGCUAGUUGGUGGGGUAACGGCCCACCAAGGCGACGACGGGUAGCCGGCCUGAGAGGGCGACCGGCCACACUGGGACUGAGACACGGCCCAGACUCCUACGGGAGGCAGCAGUGGGGAAUAUUGCGCAAUGGGCGAGAGCCUGACGCAGCGACGCAGCGUGAGGGACGAAGGCCUUCGGGUUGUAAACCUCUUUCAGCGGGGACGAAGCGAAAGUGACGGUACCCGCAGAAGAAGCACCGGCUAACUACGUGCCAGCAGCCGCCGCCGUAA